rnacentral:rRNA from 1 species
AGCAGUCGCCGCGGGAAUACGUAGGGUGCAAGCGUUAAUCGGAAUUAUUGGGCGUAAAGCGAGUGCAGACGGUUACUUAAGCCAGAUGUGAAAUCCCCAAGCUUAACUUGGGACGUGCAUUUGGAACUGGGUGACUAGAGUGUGUCAGAGGGAGGUAGAAUUCCACGUGUAGCGGUGGAAUGCGUAGAGAUGUGGAGGAAUACCGAUGGCGAAGGCAGCCUCCUGGGAUAACACUGACGUUGAGGCUCGAAAGCGUGGGGAGCAAACAGGAUUAGAUACCCCCGUAGUCCCUGUCUCUUAUAC